UACAGAGGUGGCAAGCGUUGUUCGGAAUUACUGGGCGUAAAGGGCGCGUAGGCGGCUUUUUAAGUCAGACGUGAAAUCCCCAGGCUCAACCUGGGAACUGCGUCUGAUACUGGAUGGCUUGAAUUCGGGAGAGGGAUGCAGAAUUCCAGGUGUAGCGGUGAAAUGCGUAGAUAUCUGGAGGAAUACCGGUGGCGAAGGCGGCAUCCUGGACCGACAUUGACGCUGAUGAGCGAAAGCUAGGGGAGCAAACGGG
rnacentral:rRNA from 1 species